UUCUCUCCUCUUCCCCUUUGCCCCCACGACGCUGAAUGCGUCUUCCUCUUCCUCUUCCCCAACCGACGACGCCGCUUCGCUUCUCCAUCCCUCCCACGCGUAAAAAACUUUCGGCCGAAGAUCUCCCUCACUCGUCUCACCCAACACUAACUCCCUUCUCUCCCGAUCUUCCCUGCGCCGACGCUGUGCCUUAGCCCUAGAAUCGUCACUUCUUCUUCUCUUCUGUUUUCUUCCUCCGAUCGCCGAGCAGAGCCGCCUUCUCUCUGCCCUAGUGUCAAGCACUUAGCACAUCCAAGGUGAACCCGUCGGUCUCCAAGCUCUCGGUUAUAAGAAAAUUCCUACACAUGGUGACCCCAUCCUGUACCUGAUUGCUGGCCACAAUCUUCGUUUGUCGGCUCACUGAUUAUAGAUUCAAGGCUGCAGACUCUUGGCCCGAUUAGUGUUCUUCCUCCCUACCGAUCGCCAACGCUGAUCUAGGGAUUUCGGCCGCUAGAUGUGAGUAGGUGCUUUUGGCUGGUAUUCUCAACAACCGCGAUUUCUGGCCAUGAGCAACCAACACCGACAUCUCACUCUGACCGUUGUUUUCCAUCGAGCCAUCAAAAUUGAGAUCAACCGCUCUGCUAUGGAUCCGAGCAUCACCAUUUGAGGACGACUCACAACACCGGCCAUAAUUUCCAACAGCUACCCUUUUCCGGCAGCAACAUCCCUGGUUAUGAGUUUGAGGGCUUUGAUUCGAGAUGAGCAUCUCUAAGUGGGGUCUAUUUCGGAGACGAUCUCCAUAUUUUGAGGCGGGU